rnacentral:rRNA from 1 species
GACGAACGCUGGCGGCGUGCUUAACACAUGCAAGUCGAACGGAAAGGCCCUGCUUUUGUGGGGUGCUCGAGUGGCGAACGGGUGAGUAACACGUGAGUAACCUGCCCUUGACUUUGGGAUAACUUCAGGAAACUGGGGCUAAUACCGGAUAGGAGCUCCUGCUGCAUGGUGGGGGUUGGAAAGUUUCGGCGGUUGGGGAUGGACUCGCGGCUUAUCAGCUUGUUGGUGGGGUAGUGGCUUACCAAGGCUUUGACGGGUAGCCGGCCUGAGAGGGUGACCGGCCACAUGGGGACUGAGAUACGGCCCAGACUCCUACGGGAGGCAGAGGUGGGGAAAAUUGCACAAUGGGCGGAAGCCUGAUGAAGAAACGCCGCGUGCGGGAUGACGGCCUUCGGGUUGUAAACCGCUUUCGCCUGUGACGAAGCGUGAGUGACGGUAAUGGGUAAAGAAGCACCGGCUAACUACGU